AUUGAACGCUGGCGGCAGGCUUAACCCAUGCAUGUCGAGCGGAGCGGCGGACGGGUGAGUAAUGCUUAGGAAUCUGCCUCUUAGUGGGGGACAACAUCUCGAAAGGGAUGCUAAUACCGCAUACUAAUCGACGAGCCUAAGUCGGAUUAGCUAGUUGGUGGGGUAAAGGCCUACCAAGGCGACGAACUGUAGCGGGUCUGAGAGGAUGCUCCGCCACACUGGGAGUGAGACACGGCCCAGAGUCCUACGGGAGACAGCAGUGGGGAAUAUUGGACAAUGGGGGGAAACCUGAGCCAGCCAUGCCGCGUGUGUGAAGAAGGCCUUAUGGUUGUAAAGCACUUUAAGCGAGGAGGCGUUACUCGCAGAAUAAGCACCGGCUAACUCUGUGCCAGCAGCGCGGUAAUUC
rnacentral:rRNA from 1 species